UACGUAGGGUGCAAGCGUUAAUCGGAAUUACUGGGCGUAAAGCGUGCGCAGGCGGUUUGGUAAGACAGAUGUGAAAUCCCCGGGCUUAACCUGGGAAUUGCAUUUGUGACUGCCCGGCUAGAGUGUGUCAGAGGGGGGUAGAAUUCCACGUGUAGCAGUGAAAUGCGUAGAGAUGUGGAGGAAUACCGAUGGCGAAGGCAGCCCCCUGGAUAACACUGACGCUCAUGGCACGAAAGCGUGGGGAGCAAACAGG
rnacentral:rRNA from 1 species